AGAUCGAUGAUGAUUUACCCAUAUGGGUUCCUUGGAAAAACUGAACAAAAUGAGUGAGAACUCCUACUGUCCUUCUCAUCAGACGGGAAGUCU